rnacentral:rRNA from 1 species
CAGCCGCCACGGGAAUACGAAGGGGGCUAGCGUUGUUCGGAAUUACUGGGCGUAAAGCGCACGUAGGCGGACAUUUAAGUCAGGGGUGAAAUCCCGGGGCUCAACCCCGGAACUGCCUUUGAUACUGGGUGUCUAGAGUAUGGAAGAGGUGAGUGGAAUUCCGAGUGUAGAGGUGAAAUUCGUAGAUAUUCGGAGGAACACCAGUGGCGAAGGCGGCUCACUGGUCCAUUACUGACGCUGAGGUGCGAAAGCGUGGGGAGCAAACAGGAUUAGAUACCCGCGUAGUCCCUGUCUCUUAUAA